CUCACGCGCACGCGGACGCAGACGCUUUCCGUACGUACCCAAACCUGUGGUGAAACUCCCAGCGCCCUCGCCGACCCACGCACCCGCACACGCGCUGGCAAGCAUGAGCUCCCAGCAGCAUGCCUUUGAAAAGUCGCGAGAGCAGGCAAAGGAAUACCUUAGCAAGGAUGCCAUGAAAGAGCUCAGGGCCAGCCUCGACCCCAGCGCUACCCGCGCCCGUCACGGUCUCUUGCCGAAAGACUUUCAGACAACCGACGAGGAGCACGAGCGGCGUGUAAACGACUACAUCCGGAGCCACAGCACGUGGCGCAAGGACGUCUACGUGCUCCGCAGCUACGAGUACUGGAAGCUGCGCGCCGACUACUAUCCGUACAUUCGCCGUAGUGACGAGAAGGACAACUUCUUUCUCCGCGGCAUCACGUGCCACCCGCGCCUAUCUGACUACCCCGUGUGCAAGGCUGUCAUCCGUGACUACUUUGUGUGCCGUGACAGGAACCCGGUCCUGCAGAUCUUUAACGCCUGUGCGCCUCUGAAGGAGCAGUUCUGCGCGUGCAUCAACGAGGUCUUUCUCAAGAACCACGAGCGUGGCGACAAGAAGUUCAACGCCCACCGUGACGAGUUCUUCGAGGUGCAGCGGUCGAAGCGAUUUGCGAAGAUGCUAAACCAUGUGGAGGAGUCGAUGGAGGCCAAGACGAAGUUGCAGGACUGAGCAGAAGGUAGCCAACAUCGACGUAUGGCGACAUCUAUGCGCGGUAGAGAGAAAGAGGAAUACCAAGAGAGGCGAUGCGCCGGCCCGUUUUUUCUUUCGUUUGUGCGUGCGUUUGCCAGUGAGUGCUUCGUUUUGCUCUCCUUCCUUGGCCCGUCCCUCCCUCCCCCUCUCUCUCUUCUCCCACCCACCCUCGCACCCGCCUUGGCUGAUGCCUUAUCCUCUUUGGUUGUUUGUUUCAGGAAUGUGUCUGUGCUAGUCCGCCAGAUCGGUGGAGAUGUUCUGUUUUGCGUGCUUCUUGCGGUCGUCGCUUCUCUGUGUUCUGUUGGUAUCUUGUCGUCACUCUUAUCCGUUGGCCGGCGCACACACGCCCAUCUCAGCUGCCCCUCCUUCCCCCUCCUUGCGCUCCUGGACGAUACACGUCUGAUGGCAACGUUGCUGGCUUGCCAGGUGGCAGGACAGAAGCGGUGGUUGUCGCUGAGAAGUAAACCGAAGCGGCAGCAAUGGCUCAUCCCCGUGCGACUCCUCUAGCACGCAUUAUUCUCUCACCUCUGACGUCGUGCCUACCUACUCUUGAUCCGGCCACCCCGCCCCUCACCGUCUCCGCUGUGUUGCUUUCUUUCUCCUCUACGCCGCCGAUGGCUUUUGUGUGCAUGUGUGUGUGUGGAUACAUCUCCAUCCGGUGUCGUGACGAAG
rnacentral:misc_RNA from 1 species